AUAGGCGAAGGGUCUCACAGUGCAGACCUGCAGGUCUCGCAGGUUGGUAGCCACGCCCACAGGAAGGUCCGCCCAAGGGGUCUGCCUUGCCACCACUCCAGCAGGAAGCUCCUCCCUAUAUGGAACUCCGCCUCCAAGGUCCCCUUUGAGCCAAACAUAAACUCUAACUCCUCUGACGCACGGUGAUGGCAUUUUACCUCAUCACUGGUUUCCAAGGCAACACAGACAAGAACCGGAGGACCGUCUUCGUGAAGGAGCUAUUAGGAGCCCGUCGGCCCCGCUGCUGAAACACAGAAACAAAUUCCUUUGCCCUGGUCACAAAGCCAAGGGCCUGAAGCAUGCAGGACACCUCAGGCUGUUGUGAUCAGAAGAAAAGAGCAAGAGACACACCCAUGUGCAGGCAAUAAAACUCCAAGCAGCCUGAGCAGGAGGAACAGGGCCAAAACCUGGACACACAGGACAACAUCUACACUGAGAUGAGGAUCCCAGACAUGAGAAGCCUCCUGGUCACCAUCCUAGUGGCUGUACUGCUGCAGGAGACAUGUGCAGCCCCAGUACCUCAGGUAUGUGUGGGCCCCUCUGAUUCACUGCUGUCCAGUCCUCCUGGGGUCACAGCUGGCUUCACUCUCUUGUCUCCACUGUGCUCCACAAGGAUGGCUGGGCUCAGUGGGACUUACCCUCCUUCCCUAGGCCACAAGCCAAGAAGAGGUGGUGCAGGCAUAAUCCCUGACUGCCA